UACGGGGGGGGCAAGCGUUGUUCGGAAUUACUGGGCGUAAAGGGCGUGUAGGUGGCCAACUAAGUCAGACGUGAAAUCCCUCGGCUUAACCGGGGAACUGCGUCUGAUACUGGUUGGCUUGAGUUUGGGAGAGGGACGCGGAAUUCCAGGUGUAGCGGUGAAAUGCGUAGAUAUCUGGAGGAACACCGGUGGCGAAGGCGGCGUCCUGGACCAACACUGACACUGAUGAGCGAAAGCCAGGGGAGCAAACGGG
rnacentral:rRNA from 1 species